GAAUCCAGAGGAGAGGAGAGAAGAGGAGCAAGAGUUAGAGCAACCAGAAGAGAUUGCGGAAGAAGCCUCCAGCUCCCAAAAGGCACCGGUCGAGCAGCUCAAUCUAAACAUCACGAACGUGAUGUGCUCAGCAUCACUCAACUGUCGCCUGAAUCUCAGAAAAAUCGCAACGACCGGACGGAAUGUGGAAUAUAACACC